UGGGGAAUAUUGCACAAUGGAGGGAACUCUGAUGCAGCGACGCCGCGUGAACGAAGAAGGCUUUCGAGUCGUAAAGUUCUUUUAUAUGGGAAGAUAAUGACGGUACCAUAAGAAAAAGCCCCGGCUAACUACGUGCCAGCAGCCGCGGUAAUACGUAGGGGGCUAGCGUUGUCCGGAAUCACUGGGCGUAAAGGGCUCGCAGGCGGAAAUGCAAGUCAGGUGUAAAAGGCAGUAGCUUAACUACUGUAAGCAUUUGAAACUGCAUAUCUUGAGAAGAGUAGAGGUAAGUGGAAUUUUUAGUGUAGCGGUGAAAUGCGUAGAUAUUAAAAAGAAUACCGGUGGCGAAGGCGACUUAAUGGGCUCAUUCUGACGCUGAGGAACGAAAGCGUGGGUAGCAAACAGG
rnacentral:rRNA from 1 species